rnacentral:rRNA from 1 species
CCUACGGGUGGCAGCAGUGGGGGAUAUUGCACAAUGGGCGCAAGCCUGAUGCAGCGACGCCGCGUGAGCGAAGAAGUAUUUCGGUAUGUAAAGCUCUAUCAGCAGGGAAGAAAAUGACGGUACCUGACUAAGAAGCUCCGGCUAACUACGUGCCAGCAGCCGCGGUAAUACGUAGGGGGCAAGCGUUAUCCGGAUUUACUGGGGGUAAAGGGAGCGUAGACGGUUAUGUAAGUCUGGAGUGAAAGCCCGGGGCCCAACCCCGGGACUGCUUUGGAAACUGUGUAACUGGAGUACAGGAGGGGCAGGCGGAAUUCCUGGUGUAGCGGUGAAAUGCGUAGAUAUCAGGAGGAACACCGGCGGCGAAGGCGGCCUGCUGGACUGAAACUGACGUUGAGGCUCGAAAGCGUGGGGAGCAAACAGGAUUAGAUACCCCUGUAGUC